rnacentral:rRNA from 1 species
AACGAACGCUGGCGGCGUGCCUAACACAUGCAAGUCGUGCGAGAAAGUUCCUUCGGGAGCGAGUAAAGCGGCGCACGGGUGAGUAACACGUAGGUAACCUGCCCCCCAGUCUGUAACAACUAGAGGAAACUCUAGCUAAUGCCGGAUGAGACCACGAUCCCCUUCGGGGGUUGCGGCCAAAGAUGGCCUCUACUUGUAAGCUAUCGCUGAGGGAUGGGCCUGCGGGCCAUUAGCUUGUUGGUGAGGUAACGGCUCACCAAGGCUGUGAUGGCUAGCUGGUCUGAGAGGAUGACCAGCCACACUGGGACUGAGACACGGCCCAGGACUCCUACGGGAGGCAGCAGUGGGAAUAUUGACGCAAUGGGCGAAGCCUGACGCAGCGACG